rnacentral:rRNA from 1 species
CUUUACUAUAGCUUGACACUGAACAUUGAGCCUUGAUGUGUAGGAUAGGUGGGAGGCUUUGAAGUGUGGACGCCAGUCUGCAUGGAGCCGACCUUGAAAUACCACCCUUUAAUGUUUGAUGUUCUAACGUGGACCCGUUACCCGGGUUGCGGACAGUGUCUGGUGGGUAGUUUGACUGGGGCGGUCUCCUCCUAAAGAGUAACGGAGGAGCACGAAGGUUGGCUAAUCCUGGUCGGACAUCAGGAGGUUAGUGCAAUGGCAUAAGCCAGCUUGACUGCGAGCGUGACGGCGCGAGCAGGUGCGAAAGCAGGUCAUAGUGAUCCGGUGGUUCUGAAUGGAAGGGCCAUCGCUCAACGGAUAAAAGGUACUCCGGGGAUAACAGGCUGAUACCGCCCAAGAGUUCAUAUCGACGGCGGUGUUUGGCACCUCGAUGUCGGCUCAUCACAUCCUGGGGCUGAAGUAGGUCCCAAGGGUAUGGCUGUUCGCCAUUUAAAGUGGUACGCGAGCUGGGUUUAGAACGUCGUGAGACAGUUCGGUCCCUAUCUGCCGUGGGCGCUGGAGAACUGAGGGGGGCUGCUCCUAGUACGAGAGGACCGGAGUGGACGCAUCACUGGUGUUCGGGUUGUCAUGCCAAUGGCACUGCCCGGUAGCUAAAUGCGGAAGAGAUAAGUGCUGAAAGCAUCUAAGCACGAAACUUGCCCCGAGAUGAGUUCUCCCUGAGACUUAGAGUCUCCUGAAGGAACGUUGAAGACGACGACGUUGAUAGGCCGGGUGUGUAAGCGCAGCGAUGCGUUGAGCUAACCGGUACUAAUGAACCGUGAGGCUUAACCUUACA